rnacentral:rRNA from 1 species
GACGAACGCUGGCGGCGUGCUUAACACCUGCAAGUCGAACGGAAAGGCCCUGCUUGCAGGGUACUCGAGUGGCGAACGGGUGAGUAACACGUGGGUGAUCUGCCCUGCACUUCGGGAUAAGCCUGGGAAACUGGGUCUAAUACCGGAUAGGAGCCAUUUUUAGUGUGAUGGUUGGAAAGUUUUUUCGGUGUAGGAUGAGCUCGCGGCCUAUCAGCUUGUUGGUGGGGUAAUGGCCUACCAAGGCGGCGACGGGUAGCCGGCCUGAGAGGGUGGACGGCCACAUUGGGACUGAGAUACGGCCCAGACUCCUACGGGAGGCAGCAGUGGGGAAUAUUGCACAAUGGGCGCAAGCCUGAUGCAGCGACGCCGCGUGGGGGAUGACGGCCUUCGGGUUGUAAACUCCUUUCGCUAGGGACGAAGCUUUUUGUGACGGUACCUAGAUAAGAAGCACCGGCUAACUACGUG